UACGUAGGGUGCAAGCGUUGUCCGGAAUUAUUGGGCGUAAAGAGCUCGUAGGCGGUUUGUCGCGUCGGAUGUGAAAAUCCAGGGCUCAACCCUGGACCUGCAUUCGAUACGGGCAGACUAGAGUUCGGUAGGGGAGACUGGAAUUCCUGGUGUAGCGGUGAAAUGCGCAGAUAUCAGGAGGAACACCUAUUGCGAAGGCAGCUCGCUGGGACGUAACUGACGCUGAGACGCGAAAGCGUGGGGAGCAAACAGG
rnacentral:rRNA from 1 species